rnacentral:lncRNA from 1 species
AGGUUUCUUCGAUACACCGGAAGUACUGGCAGAGUUUUGGAUCUUGCCUAUCUUAAUCAUAUUUUCUAUCCUUUCACCGGCUAAGACUAGGUCAGAAAAACCCAAAGAGGUGCUCCUUACCAUUAUGUCAAGGUAUGGGCCUUGCAGAUUACCCAUAAACAUGUCAAUCAGUUCCCUUUCUAGCAAUGGGGGUUGUACCCUAGCAGCUAAUUCCCUCCACCGUUG